rnacentral:lncRNA from 1 species
UCUUCAACUUUUUACUUGUUUGGCUUUAUAACUAUUUUGAUAUGAGUGUCACUGAUGAGUCUUAUGUAGACGAAACGCGCGUCUGGCGUACAAAAUUCCAAUCCUGGUACCUUUGAUAACUAAUUAUAAUUAUCAUAUAGUGAUAAUGUUUGUUUCAAUUAAUUCAAUCAACAAACUGUCUGGCAUUUUAUCAUAUAACAAAAAGAACCACAUAACCC